UACAGAGGUCCCGAGCGUUGUUCGGAUUCACUGGGCGUAAAGGGUGCGUAGGUGGUUGGGUAAGUUUGAUGUGAAAGCUCAGGGCUUAACCCUGAAAUGGCAUUGAAUACUACUCAACUGGAGGUUUGGAGGGGGGACUGGAAUUCUUGGUGUAGCAGUGAAAUGCGUAGAUAUCAAGAGGAACACCAGUGGCGAAGGCGAGUCCCUGGACAACACCUGACACUGAGGCACGAAAGCUAGGGGGAGCAAAACAGG
rnacentral:rRNA from 1 species